UACGUAGGGUGCGAGCGUUAAUCGGAAUUACUGGGCGUAAAGCGUGCGCAGGCGGUCUGUUAAGACCGAUGUGAAAUCCCCGGGCUUAACCUGGGAACUGCAUUGGUGACUGGCAGGCUUUGAGUGUGGCAGAGGGAGGUAGAAUUCCACGUGUAGCAGUGAAAUGCGUAGAGAUGUGAGGAACACGAUGCGAAGCAGCUCGCUGGAACGUACUGACGCUGAGACGCGAAGCGUGGGAGCAACAGG
rnacentral:rRNA from 1 species